UACGAAGGGGGCUAGCGUUGCUCGGAAUCACUGGGCGUAAAGCGCACGUAGGCGGCUUCUUAAGUCAGGGGUGAAAUCCUGGAGCUCAACUCCAGAACUGCCUUUGAUACUGGGAAGCUCGAGUCCGGGAGAGGUGAGUGGAACUGCGAGUGUAGAGGUGAAAUUCGUAGAUAUUCGCAAGAACACCAGUGGCGAAGGCGGCUCACUGGUCCGGUACUGACGCUGAGGUGCGAAAGCGUGGGGAGCAAACA
rnacentral:rRNA from 1 species